rnacentral:rRNA from 1 species
ACUGGUGCCAGCAGCCGCGGUAAUUCCAGCUCCAAUAGCGUAUAUUAAAGUUGUUGCAGUUAAAAAGCUCGUAGUUGAAUUUCGGGGUUAGUAGGUUGGUCAUGCCUCUGGUAUGUACUGGUCUCACUGAUUCCUCCUUCCUGAUGAACCGUAAUGCCAUUAAUUUGGUGUUGCGGGGAAUUUGGACUGUUACUUUGAAAAAAUUAGAGUGUUUAAAGCAGGCUAACGCUUGAAUACAUUAGCAUGGAAUAAUGAAAUAGGACGUUCGAUCCUAUUUUGUUGGUUUCUAGGAUUGACGUAAUGAUUAAUAGGGAUAGUUGGGGGCAUUAGUAUUCAAUUGUCAGAGGUGAAAUUCUUGGAUUUAUUGAAGACUAACUACUGCGAAAGCAUUUGCCAAGGAUGUUUUCAUUAAUCAAGAACGAAAGUUAGGGGGAUCGAAGACGAUCAGAUACCGUCGUAGUCUUAACCAUAAACUAUGCCGACUAGGGAUCGGAUGAUGUUAAUUUUUUAAUGACUCAUUCGGCGCCUUACG